UACGUAGGGUGCGAGCGUUGUCCGGAAUUAUUGGGCGUAAAGAGCUCGUAGGCGGUUCGGUAAGUCGGGUGUGAAACCUCCAGGCUCAACCUGGAGUCGCCACUCGAUACUGCUGUGACUAGAGUCCGGUAGGGGAGCGUGGAAUUCCUGGUGGAGCGGUGAAAUGCGUAGAGAUCGGAAAGAACACCAACGGCGAAAGCACUCUGCUGGGCCGACACUGACACUGAGAGACGAAAGCUAGGGGAGCGAAUGGG
rnacentral:rRNA from 1 species